rnacentral:rRNA from 1 species
UACGUAGGGGGCUAGCGUUGUCCGGAUUUAUUGGGCGUAAAGAGCGUGUAGGCGGCCAGGUAGGUCUGGUGUGAAAACUCGAGGCUUAACCUCGAGAUGUCAUCGGAAACCAUUUGGCUAGAGUCCGGAAGAGGAGAGUGGAAUUCCUGGUGUAGCGGUGAAAUGCGCAGAUAUCAGGAAGAACACCAAUGGCGAAAGCAGCUCUCUGGGACGGGACUGACGCUGAGACGCGAAAGCGUGGGGAGCGAACAGG